UCCCUACCCUUUGGGCCUUCAGCUAUGACAGAGACUCCACUUUCAACGUGUUUGUGGGAAAAGGACAGCUGAUCACAGGGAUGGACCAGGCUCUUGUUGGGAUGUGCGUAAACGAGAGACGUUUCGUGAAGAUUCCCCCAAAGCUUGCCUACGGAAGUGAAGGAGUUUGUAAGCUUUUCUUCCUCGUUUAUAAACACGUCAGCAGAAACAAUGAGAACACUUUUAGGAUGUUAAGUCAAACAGACUGGAGAAUCUUGGAAGCUUUAGAUUGGGGGGAAAUGAAAAGCAGUGAACUCAUACACAGCUAAAAUUUCCAUCUUAGGUUUAUUUCUUCUAGAUGUGAAAGAAAGUGUCAUUAACACAGAUGUAUUGAAUGAUACCCUCAAUGAGAAGAAGACUGUUUUUUCUCUUUUCUUUCAAUUUCAUUUGGAGGAAAGAGGGAGGAAGAAUGGGUCAUUUUGGGAUUGUAUAGCGGUGACUGCUUGAACCCUUUUGGCCCACAUUCACCUUGGGAGCAUCCUAGGUGUUUAUUUAUCUGGCCUGAAAGGCAGCAACUGUGAACUCAGUGUGUAAUCUUUAAUUUCUAGCUGGUGUGAUCCCCCCCAAUUCAGUGCUUCAUUUUGAUGUACUUCUGAUGGAUAUUUGGAAUUCUGAAGACCAGGUUCAGAUUCACACCUAUUUCAAGCCCCCGAGUUGCCCUCGGACCAUCCAGGUGUCUGAUUUUGUGAGGUACCACUACAACGGGACGUUCCUGGACGGAACUCUGUUUGAUUCGAGUCACAAUCGCAUGAAAACAUAUGACACGUAUGUGGGAAUUGGCUGGCUGAUU
rnacentral:sRNA from 1 species